rfam:Capsicum annuum cultivar Zunla-1 chromosome 8, whole genome shotgun sequence
UGAUGAUGGUGAGGGCAAUUUUUGAGCAUACUUUUAAAUCUCUCUCAAUCUUGGUAGAGAUUCUCUCCUUCUUUCUAUCUAUAACUCGGAAUCUCACUUCUCAAAUA